GGGGGUGUAGCUCAGUGAUAGAGCACUUGCCUAGCAUGCACAGGGCCCUGGAUUUGAUAUCCUGCUCUACCA
rnacentral:tRNA from 1 species